CACGGGUGAGUAACACGUAUCCAACCUGCCGUCUACUCUUGGACAGCCUUCUGAAAGGAAGAUUAAUACAAGAUGGCAUCAUGAGUCCGCAUGUUCACAUGAUUAAAGGUAUUCCGGUAGACGAUGGGGAUGCGUUCCAUUAGAUAGUAGGCGGGGUAACGGCCCACCUAGUCUUCGAUGGAUAGGGGUUCUGAGAGGAGGUCCCCCACAUUGGAACUGAGACACGGUCCAA
rnacentral:rRNA from 1 species